rnacentral:rRNA from 1 species
AUUGAACGCUGGCGGCAUGCUUUACACAUGCAAGUCGGACGGCAGCACAGAGAAGCUUGCUUCUUGGGUGGCGAGUGGCGAACGGGUGAGUAACAUAUCGGAACGUACCGAGCAGUGGGGGAUAACUAAUCGAAAGAUUAGCUAAUACCGCAUAUAUUCUGAGGAAGAAAGCAGGGGACCAUUUGGCCUUCGCUGUUUGAGCGCCGAUAUCUGAUUAGCUGGUUGGUGGGGUAAAGGCCUACCAAGGCGACGAUCAGUAGCGGGUCUGAGAGGAUGACCGCCACACUGGGACUGAGACACGGCCCAGACUCCUACGGGAGGCAGCAGUGGGGAAUUUUGGACAAUGGGCGCAAGCCUGACCAGCCAUGCCGCGUGUCUGAAGAAGGCCUUCGGGUUGUAAAGGACUUUUGUCCAGGGAAGAAAAGGGCGGGGCUAAUACCCCCUGUGCUGAUGACGGUACCUGAAGAAUAAGCACCGCUAACUAAC